AUCGCUUCUGGGCCUUUUGGCUGAGAUCAAGUGUAGACCUGUUCUUGUCAGUUUAAUAUCUGAUAUGUCCUUGAUGUAAGGACUUUAUGUUAAAUGUAUUUUUAGAACGGGGAGAUGGAUUCGGAGCUUGCUCCAUCCACUCCACGCAUCAGCCUGGUAUUGCAGUGCCUCCAGGAGUGGUGCACCUCCC